rnacentral:lncRNA from 1 species
UUUAUUGAAUUUCCACUUUUAAUAUAGAUCUAAGUGAGGUUUAUAAUUUUAUAAUUAGUUAAUUACUUUAAUUUCACAUUUUUAGAUAAUUUAGGAUUUUAUUUAUUAGGAUUUUUAAUUAAAAAAAAGAAAGCAAACAAAGGAAUUGAAAAUAAAGAAAAGGAAUAUAAGUAUAUUAACUUUCUGAAAUUGGACCCAUUCUCCCAACUUAGCCCAAAUAAUACCCAAUUCGGUCCGGCCCAAUAAUCAGACCCGCCUGGCCCAAUAACCCACCCCCUUCCAUUAAACCUAGGCCUAACACUAUCAGAUAGAGAGGAUAAUAGAGGAGGACCCUUAACAAAAAUACAGAGAAAACGGCUCCCUUGGACCUUCUUCAUGAUCCCUCAUUUUCAACGACAACCAGAUCCCUGGCCAUUGAAGACCAGCUCCCAUUCACCUCCGAUCACACACGAAAACAUACCCCUUAAUUCCCUUCCCGUUAUCUGAAGAAGCAGUACCGCUGCUUAUAUUCUUCUUCUCGGCAUAAACCCACACACUCACAAAAAUGUAUAAGAAUAAGCGGAAAAGAACAAGAAAAUAGGGGAAAAGAAACAAACACACUCACUUUCACUUGUAUGAAGCUCACAAUCGAAGAUAGUAAAAGUUGCUUCUUCGUUCACCACUGCUGUGAGCCUCCAUUUUGUGGGUUUCCAAGUGAUGUUUUGGAUCUAUAAUGUUGCUAUAUCUUCUGAUUUUACCGCUGACUUUGUUGUUUAGUAGCUGAGCUCCAUCUCCUAAUUUCUAGACCUUUAUCCGGUCACUUCUUUUGUUUCUUUGCUAGAGGUAUGUAAAUUCUAAGCUUAUUCUCUUAUGUUGAAUCAUGGAUGAAAUGUUUGUGAAAUAUAUGCUGGUUCUCACACUGACUAAGUGUUGUCUUCCAAAGUUUAAGUUCUGUUGCCCUUCCUUUGUUCUCGAUCGAUGUUUGAUAUUCAACACUUUUUUCUCCACUGCGAUUUUGAGUUUGUUGAUAGGCUGCCGAUUGAUUUUGAAUUUUUUUUAAAAAAAAUCUAUUUGUUUUCUUGUGAAAUCUAUGAGGGCUGUUUGAAUUUCAUUCAAAUCUGCUUGCAUUGGAGUUUUUGCUUGGCAGAUUUGGAACAUUAUUGAUGACAUGUGAGUUCAACUGCUCCAUAUUUUAUUGUAUGGCAGAUUGUGAAAUUCGUUUUGUAAUAACACUAGGAAAAUAUUUAUCAUGCAAGCAUAAGCAUGUGGAAAUGUUUACGCAUGAACUUUUGUUUUCUAAUUUUCAGUAGUUUUUUUUGGUUAGAUGCAACGUUUUGAUCCACUAAUGUGAUUUUCAUACAGCAACGUUUGGG